rnacentral:rRNA from 1 species
ACGCUCGACACCUACGGGAGGCAGCAGUCGGGAAUAUUGCGCAAUGGAGGAAACUCUGACGCAGUGACGCCGCGUAUAGGAAGAAGGUUUUCGGAUUGUAAACUAUUGUCGUUAGGGAAGAAAAAGGACAGUACCUAAGGAGGAAGUUCNCCGGCUAACUACGUACCAGCAGCCGCGGUAAUCUGAGCGGGCUGGCAAGGC